CGGGCUUUAGGACCCGGGGAUAAUCUCCAGCAGCGGGCUGCUGCUGGUAAACAUGGCCGACCAAAACAAGACAGGCACUGACGCAAAGUUUUACAAUGAAAUAUUAAGUCCAUCUGAACUGUUUGCAGCCCGGUCCAGGAGUCACAAGAUCCCGGUCAGAGGGCAGAAAGACUUCUUCCCUGAUGACUCAGACGAGCAAAGACAGCGGCUUGAGCAGAGUCUCACUGAGCACUGGAGCCUCAUAUCAGAGGAGAGAGUGGAGAAACUGGGAAACCUAGUGAAGGCCACAUGGGUUCCAAGUGAGAAGGUUGUGGAGCUUCAGUCUCCAGCUGGGAAGUUUUGGCAGACAAUGGGGUUUUCUGCCGGCGGCAAGCAGUUUCUCUUCCCAGAAGAGGCUCUCUACCUGAUGGAGUGUGGGAAUGUGCAGGUGUUCUACCAGGAGCUGCCGCUGUCCAUUCAGGACGGGUAUGAGAAGUUUCUGUCCUCGAGCACAGUGAGACUUCAGGAAUAUCAGGUGUUUGGGCAUUUGAAGAGGCUUGGCUAUGUGGUGCUCAGGUUCGAUCCCAGUUCGGAGACAUCGUCCUAUGCCAAGCAGCUGAACCUUCCUCAGUCACAUGACAGAUCGGGGAAACAGCUGAAGAGGAAGCGCAGCGCCAGCCCCACCACACCAUCCAGUCACACUGAAGCUCAAGAAGAAUCCACAGCUGACAGAAUGGAGGAGGAUACAUGCAGCCGAGAAAGUCAGGAGGAUAAAAAAUAUCCUGAGUCCCACCGGGCUAUUUCUCCAAAGACUUCAAGCACCCAGACCGCCACUGCGAGUCCAGAAGACGGAGGCGGGGGCACGACCUGGUGGAUGGAGGAUGUUGUCGGGGAGCGAUCUGAUCAACAGCCUGCUUCUGCUGCCUCACGCUGGGACUUCAGCUCCAUCUUCUUCCCCGACCUGGGUGCCAGCAGGGAGCUCCUCUCCAGCUGCCUGGCUUCACCUCACCCCUCUCUGCUCCCUGGGGCUCUGGCAGUGGGGGUCUGUGACGUCGACCCCUGGAGGAGUAGAAUCAACCUGCGGGACGUGAAGAUGUCCUUGAAGGAGCAGAUGAGAGAAGAGGAGAAGCGCAAACGUCGCUCGGACAUCAACAAAAACAGAGAGGUCAGGAACUGCAGAAACUGGGCGGAGUAUCGGGAGCUCAUGGAGAGGAGGGAGGAGAGGAGGAGUAAAGGCCGACCGGCACACUUGUGGGAUGGGGAGGUCACUCCUCUGCAUGACCCAAGGCAACCCAUCCCCACUGGGGAGCUGCUAGAUAAAAUCAGUGUGAUUAAAUCUACAAAUUUGCUUGAGGGAGCGUCCAGGUUACAAGCAUCAGACGAGUGGAGGAUUAGUUUCAAUGUUUAUCAGCCUGACACGGUGGCCGACUUCAAGAAGAGCAACCAGGGGAAACCUUACGCCCGGAUGUGUGUGUGCAGGUCAAUCAUGGUGAGUUUCACCGCGUACCAACGGCUGGAACGGCAAUGUAACCUAAAAUGGCAACAUGGCAGCUCUGAUCAAGGUUCUCUGUUACUGUCCAAGUCUGUUCGCAUUAUGUUAUCCUUUAACCAGCCUUUAAACAAGGCCAGAGUUCAUACAGUGUUCCCGUUAGUGUUUACUUUGUGUCUGUCUCUGUACAACGCUCUGUCUUUUGAUCACUUCCCUUCUCUUGUGCUGUUAUCAUGGUUCCAAAGGUUUGUGCUCUCCACAAAUAUACAGUGGUGUGCAAAAGUAUUUGCCCCCUUCCUAAUUUCUCUAGCCACACCCAGGCCUGAUUACUGCCACACCUGUUCUCAAUCAAGAAAUCACUUAAAUAGGACCUGCCUGACGAAGUGAAUAGACCAAAAGAUCCUCAAAAGCUAGACAUCAUGCUGCGAUCCAAAGAAAUCCAAGAACAAAUGAGAAGCAAAGUAAUUGAGAUCUAUCAGUCUGGAAAAGGUUAUAAAGCCAUUCCUAAAACGUUGGGACUCCAGCGAACCACAGAGAGAGCCAUUAUCUACAAAUGCCGAAAACAUGGAACAGUGGUGAACCUUCCCAGGAGUGGCCAGCCGACCAAAAUUACCCCAAGGGCGCAGCGACGACUCAUCCAAGAGGUCACAAAAGACCCCGCAACAACAUCCAAAGAACUGCAGGCCUCACCUGCCUCAGUUAAGCUUCGACGGCCCUGUGCCGGACCUGCGAGCUAUCAAGCAGCUGGCCUUCCGGAGUGGAGACGUCCCGGUGGUGUUUGCUGUGGUGGACUACGGAGAUAUCUCCUUCUACACCUUCAAAGACUUCCAGCUGCCCACUGACGUGUUCCUCUGAGUCAUCACUGCUCUGUAACAUCACUGUAAAAUAAAGCUGACAAAAUGAAAAA